rnacentral:rRNA from 1 species
AACGAACGCCGGCGGCAUGCCUAACACAUGCAAGUCGAACGAGAUCUUCGGGUCUAGUGGCGCACGGGUGCGUAACGCGUGGGAAUCUGCCCUUUGGUUCGGAAUAACAGUUGGAAACGACUGCUAAUACCGGAUGAUGACGAAAGUCCAAAGAUUUAUCGCCAGAGGAUGAGCCCGCGUAGGAUUAGCUAGUUGGUGUGGUAAAGGCGCACCAAGGCGACGAUCCUUAGCUGGUCUGAGAGGAUGAUCAGCCACACUGGGACUGAGACACGGCCCAGGCUCCUACGGGGGGCGGCAGUGGGGAAUAUUGGACAAUGGGCGAAAGCCUGAUCCAGCAAUGCCGCGUGAGUGAUGAAGGCCUUAGGGUUGUAAAGCUCUUUUACCCGGGAUGAUAAUGACAGUACCGGGAGAAUAAGCUCCGGCUAACUCCGUGCCAGCCGCCGCAGUAA